rnacentral:lncRNA from 1 species
CUGCCACCUCUGUCACCGUCGACCCUGCUACCUCCUUGGCCCACAGGUCAGCCUUGGACCUUGAAAACAGAAGCCGAGCUGGAGUCUGACUACAACUGGGGAAACCCUUGGUCCAGGAGUGGCUUUGCUUUCCCAGAAGCCACCUCCGACCUUUACAACUGGCUCUUUCCUUCUGUCCCUGAGCCUAGCCUACAUCCACCUCUGCUUGUGUGUAUCGGGUGUGUGUGGUGCAUGUGCGUGUGUGUGUUUGGCCCCAGAGGCUGGAGCCCCAGAUAGAUCCUAGGGAUAGAAGAAGUGCAGAUCUCCUUGGAGGAGGGGUGGAGUCAUUUGUGAAAUGAAUGGUUUCUUGUCCCAAAGAGAGGAGUGUGGGGUGUAUGUGUGUGUGCGUGUGUGUGCAUGCACGUGUCUGUGCGUGUGUAUGGAGGGGACUAAGGCCAGAGGGUUCCUCCUCCAGCGCUGUCUCAUGCCGGGGGCAGCAGGACUCAGCAUUUGCUUCUUCCAGACCUCCUAGGACACUGCCCUUCCCUGCAGUGCUGCUCCCGCCUCUGUCUGCUGUCCCUUCUGUCUUCUUGCACCUGUCUCUUCUGCCUGUAGGCUGCCCUUGGAUGCUUCUGCCCACCUGCCCUGACUCCUGCCUAACCCCUCCCACUGUGCCCUCUUUUUGUCCGGGGGGAACACAGCUUGUCAAGCUGAGUCAGCCCUGGAAAUCUUUACCUCUGUGUCCCAGAUCUCUCAGCAGAACCACCAACCCCAGGGCCCAAAACUUUCAUGCAGCCCAGAGAAGCUGGUGCCUCAUCUUGCCAGGACCAAGGGGCUUGGAAGUAUGACGUUGCAGGGCCUCAGUGCCAAGGAGAAUGGUCCACACCUAGUGUUUUCCUCCAGCUCCCCUUCUUGUCAAGGAAGCCGAGCUUUGAAGGCUGAGUGGGGCCUGAAAUACAAGAGGCUGAUAGAUCUGGGUGUGAAUCUUCUGUCAGUCAUGUGCUGACUGUGUUACCUUGGGCAAGUUACUCAGCCUCUCUGAGCCUCAGUUUCUAGUUCUAUACUCUAGGACCAAUAAUGCCCAUCCAAAUAGUGUUCCUGCCAGGUAUAAGAGACUGAGAAAGGGAAAGGAUCCAGUCAAGUAUCUGAUCCAAGUAGGAUCAGAAGAAACUUUAGUGUCUUCCCGUCUAACUUUCUCCAAUAGCCAAGCCAGAACCUUGGAGAAGUUCCAGCAAUGGACAGGAAUCCGAUGCUUUGUUCCCCACAUGUGGCAUGAGGAUCCCACGCUUCCUGCUAGCUGCUGGGGUCGCUGACGCAGGGAGGAAGGAGGGGUGGUCUCUUCCCCCAGGCUGGUGAUUUGGGCCUAGAUGGCCCAGAGCCACACGCUAGCGGGGCUGCCCUCACCCACUGCCCAGAGCAGCUAAAUCCUGGGUGACAACACCCUCCAACUUAGUCCAUGGGAACUCGGAGACCCUGACCUAAAUCCUUCGAGGUGUGAGGGCAUCCAUACCCUCAUCUGUCAGGUGGAGCACCUUCCUGCCUGUGAUUAUCCGCAUGCCAGACGGUCAUGGGCGUAGGGAGCAGCAGAAACAUUCUGGUUCUUAGGACAAGGGAGGGUUGCAGAAUCUUUGCCUUUGGGGAUAGCCAGGCUUGUGAACAGAUGAGGGGCAUCACUGUGUAAAGAAAUUAGAGAGGGACUUCAGAGCUGCUACAGGCAAGGGCCAGGGAGCCACGGGGUGGUCCCCAUCACAGCCUAUAGCACAGGCCAAGGCCAAGAGGUCUCAGAGGCUGCUGAAGGGGGCUGGGGCCUUAGGAGCACCCGAACCCAUGCUUUUCACACCAUCCCUUGGAGCCCAGGUCUGAGCAAGAGGAAGGGAUGGGUUCAAGGCCACAGCACUAGAAUUUUAGAGCCAGGUCAAGAGCCAGGUUCUGGAGGGCUUUGGACCCACUGGACAUCCCCGGGGAGUGGACAGCAAGUGCAAAAUUGGAGGGAGAAGAGCCAAGGGGCGCAGGCUGGCUGUUGCAGAGUUAGAGGCUGACUGGUGAAGGGAAGCCCUGCCCAGCCUUGCCCUCCAGCUACAGAUGGCAGGCCUUGGGAGAGGUGGUACUCCCUUGAUUUAAGUGCCCUCUGGGUGCCAGGAUCCAGGGGUGUCUUUCAGUACCUAGGCGUCUGAAACUUAAAAAAGCAGGACUGCAGGGAUCAUCAAGUGUGCCCUUCUUCCCUGCUCCAUGUUCCAUUUUGCAUGUGGGAAACCCAAGAGGCCAGGCCCCAGUUCCACAGACAGAGGGGAGGGAGCUCUGUGUGUCCAGGUCUCUGCUCCAUCCAAUCCCCACAGGCCUUGGAAACCACGGCUGGGAGACCAACUCACCUUUCGCCUCCAUGGCUCGAGGAGCUCCUUGGGGUUUCAGAGAGGAAGCAGCUUGCUGCCCCACCCGCCCUUCCAGCCAGCCAGCAAGCAGGACUCCUGGCCUGUAGACCUGGCUCUGUGCCCUGGUCUGUGCCCCUGGGGCUCGCUGGGCCUCAGUUUCUCUAUUGUAGCUUUCGAGAGUGAGGUCGGUCGGCUGACUGCCCUGUCCUUUCAUCCUUUCGUGGUGUCGUCUUGAAUUGGGGGUGGGGGAAGGGAGCAGGAGCAGCCGUGGGGCCAGGCCAGAGCAGACUGAAUGGGGAGAGGCAGUGAGCUCUAGCCCUGCUUCUCAGACCUGCAGCUGCCUGUGUGACUCUCCUGAGGGACAAAGCUGUGACCCUCUGAGGUGGUGGUGGGAAUCAAGCUGUCAGGGUGAGGACAGGCUGCUCCGAGGCCUCUGGCGGUCCUGGGAUACCCACGGGCUGCUCAUGGGCAGGGGUGUGUGGCCACAAGACCUGGGAGAGGUUUUUCAGGGUGUAAUUAGUGCACUUUCUGGCACCCACCAAACUUCCCCUUCCUCUUGACAAUCUGCUGCCAAAACAGCCCUGAUUCCUGUAGACUUGCUUACAUCUUAUGCAGGG